rnacentral:tRNA from 2 species
GGGGAAGUGCUGGAAUUGGCAGACAGGCAUGACUUAGGAUCAUGUGCCGCGAGGCGUGCGGGUUCAAGUCCCGCCUUCCCCA